CCUACGGGCGGCUGCAGUAAGGAAUAUUGGUCAAUGGAGGAAACUCUGAACCAGCCAUCCCGCGUGAAGGAUGAAGGGGCUCUGCCUUGUAAACUUCUUUUGUCUGGGGCGAAAAAGCUCGAUUUAUCGAGAACUGACGGUACCAGAAGAAUAAGCACCGGCUAACGCCGUGCCAGCAGCCGCGGUAAUACGGAGGGUGCAAGCGUCACCCGGUAUCACUGGGGCGAAAGGGUGCGAGGGCGGCAGUGGUGAAAGGCUGUGGCUUACCCCUGGAAUUGCCAUUGAUACUGCAGAGCUUGAAUGAGGUUGAGGUUGGCGGAAUGUGACAUGUAGCGGUGAAAUGCUUAGAUCUGUCAUGGAACACCGAUUGCGAAGGCAGCUGACUGGACCUAUAUUGACGCUGAGGCACGAAAGCGUGGGGAGCGAACAGGAUUAGAUACCCUUGUAGUC
rnacentral:rRNA from 1 species